UCGGCGGCCUGGGUUUUCAUUAUUUUCUCCGCCGGCUUCCAGACGACUGGCGAUCCUCAACCCUCCUCCGAGUUCCUGGGAACUCCCGGGAGAUUCCCGAGCCUCGUGGGGUCUGUGUGGCCGGUGGGUUCCGCCUGAACGUUUGGACAUGCCGGCGUUGGACUCCGUUUCCCACAGGCUCAGAGCCACGGAUGAACCUGGAGCGUUGGUUCCCCUUCCGGUGUGGUGGUGUGGCGCACUUCCUGGGGAGUUGAGGCGGCUGAGGUCAGGCCCCGGCUCUCCCGAGGCGGGAUGGAUACUGUGGAGCCCGAAGCUACAAACCUGCGCAAGCCGCGAACGUUUGUGACGGCGACCCUGCAGGGUGUGGAUGUACGAGAGGGAAGGGCUGAAUGUGUUUGUGACGACGCCCUGGUGUGCGCCCUGAUUGGUUUCUGAUUGGACUCGUGUGACCGUUUCACUUGGUGUUUGGUGAUGUAGGUGUUUCACUCUGUGACGUACUUGCCGAGCGUACCAGAUGAAGUUUUUGUUUUCAACGAGUCCGUAGUGUCCCUUCUUCUUUUUUGUGAUAUUCUCGGUACCCAGGUUGGUGCAUAACAUAGAAGGGCAUUGUGGCGUGAGUGACCACCCACCCCAGGUUCUAGUUGUGGGUUCCGUGGUUUUUUUGGAACAUGUUUCCGGAAUUGUCUUUUUCUGUCCUCACAGCUAGCUGUAGAGAAAUAGUCAUCACAAGAGAAGUCGUGUAUUUCUGCCCAGAGUGGAAGUUCCAAGCAGAAAAGAACAUUCUAAGUCAUGAGGUGUGAAUUGCAUUGGCCUCCCAGAUAUGCUCCAGGGAAGAUACUGAGGGGAGGGAGUUUUUCCUGGGAGAUGGCCCCUUGAAUACCCUGUGGAGGCAUUUACACAUUUCCUAACCACAGUAUUUCCUGAGCUGUGUCCCCUAGAAGCCGAUGUGAACCCCGAGGACAGGCUCUAGGCAUUGAUGAUUCUGACACGGAGAAGAGUCUGUAGUUUUCUAGUUUCCCCUCUUCCAUCUGGGUUUAUGGGUUGUGUAUGAUGGGUGCUUGUCUGGUGGUGGACAGUAUUAUUUAGCCAGUCCAAGAUCUCACAAGUCAGACUGAUCUCACAAGUCCUUUCUUCUUGGUCAUGUUAUUCCUCAAGAGAAAGAAGGCUCCUGAAGUGGAAAGGAGCACUGCUUUUUAACGGCCAUCUCAAGUUUCACUGGGGAACAUGCCCAUCGAGCUUUACCCACUCUUAUGCCAGAAGUGGAAUUUCCUGACCGGUUCUUCACAGUUCUAACCAUGGACCAUGAAUUGGUGACAUUCAGAGAUGUUGUCAUCAACUUCUCUCAGGAAGAGUGGGAAUACCUGGAUUCUGCUCAGAGGGAUUUAUAUUGGGAUGUGAUGAUGGAGAACUAUAGCAACUUGGUCUCACUGGAUUUGGAGUCUAGGUGUGAGACAGAGAUUUUAUCUGUAAGAAAGGAUGUUUUUGAAAACAGUGGUUCUCAGUUGGAAGUAAUGGAAAAUAGCAAUCUCAUUGACUUCAAAAGCUCCAUUUUCAGAAAUGACUGGCAAAGCAAAAACAAGAUUGAAGUAAAAGGACCUGGAUGGAGAUGUUUCAGUAAGAUGAAAAUCAUCUCUGACAAACAGCCCAAUUAUAAGAAUUAUAAAUAUCUUACAUUACCUCAGAGAAUGCAUGGUGGUGCGAAGCCCUAUGAAUAUAAGGAAUGUGGGAAAGUGUUCAGUUGUGACUCAAACUUUGAUCACUAUCAGAGAAUAAUACAUACUGAUGAGAAAACCUAUGAAUGUAAUGGAUGCUGGAAAAACUCUGGGAUGGAUAAUUCACAUAUACUACAAUUGAAUAUUCAUACUGGAGUGAAGCCUUGUAAAUAUAUGGAACAUGGGAAUAAACUUAGUUUCUAUGAAGAUCUUAGUCUUUACCAAAAAAUUUAUAGCAUUGGGACGUUCUAUAAGUGUAAGGAAUAUGGGAGGAUCUUUAGAAGUGUUGGAGAAAUUACUCCCAUUCAAAGAAUUCAUGAUGGUGAGAAGCCCUAUGAAUGUACAUUCUGUGGGAAAUCCUUUAGGGUGCUUGCACAACUUACUCGACAUCAGAAAAUUCAUACUGAUGAGAAACCUUACAAAUGUAUGGAAUGUGGCAAGGACUUUAGAUUUCAUUCACAGCUUACUGAACAUCAGAGAAUUCAUACUGGGGAGAAACCAUACAAAUGUAUCCACUGUGAGAAGGUUUUUAGAAUUAGUUCACAACUCCUUGAACAUCAGAGAAUUCACACUGGUGAGAAACCUUAUGCAUGCAAGGAAUGUGGGAAGGCUUUUGGAGUCUGUAGAGAACUUGCUCGACAUCAGAGAAUUCAUACAGUGUGGCUGUAUUUGGAGAUAGGCCUUUUAGAAUGUAACCAAGGUUGAAUAAAGACAUAAAGAAUUGAUUUUGAUCGAAAAUGGAUGGUGAUCUUCUGCAUGAAGAUAGUGACCUUCUAAGGGACAUCUCACUUUGCAUGCUCACACACCAAGGAAAGGCCACAUGAGAACAAAAGAAGAUGGGAAUCUACAAGCCAAGAAGAAAGCCCUCACCAGGAACUGAAUCUACUAGCACCUUGAUUGUGGACUUCACAACCUCCAAAACUGUAAGAAAAUACUUAUCUGUUAUUUAAGUCGUAUAGUGUAUAAGACUUUGCUAUGGCAUCUCAGACAGACUAACAAAGGUUUUGGUAAUCAGAACUAGGGUAUUGCUGUUACAAGUGCCUAAAAAUGCAGAAGCUAGGCUUUGGAAAUAGGUAAUGGGCAGAGAGGCUGGAAAAGUUCUAAGACUAAUGGUAGAUUGAUUUUCAUUCAAAAUAAUUAUUGAUAGAUAAUAUUUGAUACUAUUAUAUUACUCCCUGUUUACUAGUUAUUUUGUAGAUCUUUUUGUUCCUUUAUUUGUCCUCCUUUAUGGUUAAGUGGUUUUCUCUAUCAGUAAGUUUUUAUUCCCGACUUUUUGUUUUUAAUGUAUCAAAAUUUUUUUAUUUUGGGAUAGUCUUAUUGGGUUGAAUCUGAUUGGUGAACUUUGGCCUUCCUAUACUAGAUAUUUGAUAUUUGUAUCUUUCUACAGGUUUGGAAAGUUUUCUGUUAAUCUUUAAAAUAAACAUUCUACCACUUUGUCAUUCUCAAGCCUCUCUUUGAUACCAAUGACAUAUAUAUAGAUUUAUUUUUUGAUCAUGUCCCACAGAUCCUGAAGAUAAAAGUCAUUACUAUUAUACCUGGCUUGCAAGAAAUGUUCAAUGGAGCCCAGCAAAGAGAAAUGAAAUAUUACAACACAGUAACUUGAAACCAUAGGAAGAGAUAAAGAUUUCAAUAAAGCUGCCAUGGAUGGAUUUUGGGAGAACAUGGCAAAUCGAGUGUGCUGCGAGUGUGGCUGGAGUGGAGUAAAUAUGGCAAGUGUUCCUCUCCAGGAUCUGAAUGUAGCAAUGGAUAAUGAUAGUAAAAACUGGAAAAACCAAAGGAAGAGGGGGAAACACUUCUGUUGAGAGCCACAGCCAAAGGGGCCCCAGCAAACUUCCAGCUGCCAGCAAACUUCCAGCUGCUGGCUGAUGAUUGGCUCACAGCGGCCCCAGCAACAUCUAGCUGAUUGGCUCCUCGGCCCCAGCAACAUCUAGCUGAUUGGCUCCUCUGCGGUGAUGCUCAUUGGGCUGUUUCCCUGCCCUUUCAGACCACGGAGCUGCUCAUUGGGGGACUUUUUUGGCUCCGC